AUUAUUUCAGUGGAAAGUGUGUUAAGAGUGACAAGUGGUCAGUGGCAUUUAUGCAUGGAAUGUAAAUUGGAUUUUGCAUAAAACUUUGUUGCAAAUGAUGUCAACAUGCAAUGACACCCCGGCAAUGGAAAAUAGUACUAUUGUUGGCGAACUAGCCGAGUUUGACAUUAAGGCUCCCAUCAGUGUCACGAUUAGUUUUGAUGACGAUCUCGAUGAACCUCUUAUAAAAAAAGAAAUUGUGUCAGAUGAUUAUCAAGAAGAGGAAACUCAAGAAACCGUUGUAUCUAGUUUUUUCCCCAUUUUGGAAACAAAACCAGAAAUCCAGGCAGAAACGCCUGAUCCUUGUUUAUCUAGUGAGACACAGUGCAACGAUUUCAACGUACAAAAUACUCAAGACGCUUCUCAACCUGAUAACUUAAACGACGUAUUAUUUAAUGGUGAUACAUGUAGAAAACGAAAGACAGAACAUUUGGAAAUGUGCAAACCAAAGCAGUCCAAAAUUUUA